GAAAAAUUGAAAAGCAGAAUUAAGUUCAUAAAUACUUGGUUUCCUUAUUUUGAUGCAACACAAAGGCAGAAUAUCCAGGACCCUGUGGACCCCUAUUGUCAGCUUCAGCAUUCGCCAACCACAGUAAUUCAACCCCAAAAUCUCCGCUCUACACCACGCAGGCUAUAAAAAGAGAGGGAUGAACAUAUUUGUACACUGAGGGGAACAGCCAAUGGAGCAUCGGAGCAGAGGAAAUGUUUACAGCUCAAGGAAUGUUUACAGCUAAGGAGGCUCCAUGGAGGAUUGCUUGAAGGACAUGAAGUCCAUCUGUCUCCCUAGAUAGUUUAGAUUAUAUCUCAAGGUCAAGAAAGAUCAGACAUACGCCCCGAUUCUGUUUCUGUGGCUCUCCAGUCCCCACCACAAGGAGAGAGAGAGUUUCCUUGGGGACUCAGAAGUGACUUCUAUACUCCGGGAGGCUCUUGGAUAAACGUUAAAAAAACUUCUUUAAGAAAAGAAGUGAAGACAUCUUGCCCAAAGGAUGAGAAGGCAAAUCAGCCCUGCUCCCAGGUCCUGGCCACGGUUUGGCUGUGCUGUGAUGCAACCACGAAGCACGUCCCACGGAAACAGGCCUACCGCCUGGUCUCGAGCUCUGCGCACAGUGAGAGCUCAGUAAAUGCUGUUCACCUACACAUAAGAUCCAUAGUCUUAGAUCAGCUCUAAAAGUAAUGUUUGUUUGUUUUUUGACAAAAAGACUGUCUCCGUGUUUGUGUGGGUAGAUACAGCCGUAGAGACAGAUGAGGCAUCACAAGUGGUUCCUGGGAAUUUAUCAAACCAUAUUUAUUCACGGUAGCAUCCCUAAAUUUCCCCAUCGUCAAUAUAAAUACCUCUGACAAAUCUAUCUUCACUUACCGCUGCCCUUAAAUAUUUGAGGCAAAAUGCCGGCAGGCUGUCUCCCUCCUUUCUGGCCCGUCUCCUUAUCUCUGAGAUGCGACAGCCACCGCUACCCCUAAAACACGACAUAUUUCUAUCCUUUCUCCCUUCCUUCCCCCUUCCUUUGAUCCCUCCUUUUCUUUCUUCGGUGUCUGCGCUGUGCCAGGCAUGUUGAACUCCAACAGGCUCCAUCCCAACCACGCUAAAAACAAUGAACCCUUAAUAUAGGUACUGUUGGAAACAGCAAAAAGAACCGUGUAGAACGGAAAGACAUGAGAGCCGCUAAUAUUUUUUAUUGGAGAACAUUUCUCAGGAGAAUAUAUGAGUGCUGCUGCCACUCAUAUCACUCACUUGUACCCUCCCUUAUGCCCAGCAGUUGACAAGUCCUCUUACACGUGUAUCUCAUACGUUCCUCUAAAUUGUUGUUUCUCAAAGUGUGGUGCCUGACCAACAGCAGCAGCAGCUCCUGGAGAUUUCUGGAAAUGCAGGAGCCCAGGCUCCACCCCAAAACCUCCUGAAACAGACUACAUUUUAAUAAGAUCCUCUAGAGCUUGGUAGUUUGAGGACCUGUACUCUCAAUAGUCCUGCGAGGGAAUUGGAAAUUCUCUUGCCUAAUUGACCGAGAAGGAAGACGCAAAACUGGUGUGUGUUGAGGGGAGGGGCGGUGGCACUUCGGUGGCUCAGUUUGUUGAGCAUCCGACUCUUGAUUUCGGUUCGGGUU